rnacentral:rRNA from 1 species
CGAAGAACCUUACCAAGGCUUGACAUGCAGGGAAAUCCUCCAGAGAUGGGGGGUCCGCAAGGGUCCUGCACAGGUGGUGCAUGGUUGUCGUCAGCUCGUGUCGUGAGAUGUUGGGUUAAGUCCCGCAACGAGCGCAACCCUCGUUCUAUGUUGCCAGCGCGUGAUGGCGGGGACUCAUAGGAGACUGCCGGGGUCAACUCGGAGGAAGGUGGGGACGACGUCAAAUCAUCAUGCCCCUUAUGUCUUGGGCUGCACACAUGCUACAAUGGCCGGUACAAAGGGCUGCUAAGCCGUGAGGUGGAGCGAAUCCCAAAAAGCCGGUCUCAGUUCGGAUUGGGGUCUGCAACUCGACCCCAUGAAGUCGGAGUUGCUAGUAAUCGCAGAUCAGCAACGCUGCGGUGAAUACGUCCCCGGGUCUUGUACACACCGA